GUUGUCUCCGUUUUAUGGCUGGGGAGUGGGGAUGCAGCGAAAGCCAGCAACUUGCCGAAGAUUCACAUGCCGCAGGGAUCAAAGGCCUGACGCAGCCUGGCUCUGAGACUUUGCAGCGGUGGAAUUGCUUAAGGAAGAACUUAAAAGAGAGUUUCCCCUGUGGAGCAGGCCUUCCCCCAGGGAAUUUCUGGGCAGCUCUGAGGAACAUCUUCUGCAGGGCUUCCCCGGAACCACCACGCAUGGCAGCGCCAAAACAGAAACUGCAGCAGGGAACUGGAAACCACCAAGCACAUGCAGGAGGCUGCCUCUGAGGCAGGGCCCAGCUCUGGCUGCAGGAGGGAGAAGCGCCAGCUGUUGCUGAAUGCUGAGUUUCUCCAUUGUGCAGGUCUCGGACUAUAUUGUACCGAAGGCGUGGCUGCCCCGGCUGCUACCUAGCACACUGUGGCAAUGAGGAUUGUGGAUCCUUCUGUUACGAAUGCACAAACCCUUCUGCUUGAUGUGAUGGAGACUCUCUGUGAGCUGCUAACAGCAUAGGGUCUAGGCGUAGGGUACAGUCAAAACAGUUCUGAGUCCCUCCAGCAGGGGGCAGGUGUCCACCGACCAGCCCCCUGCCGGCACUAGGGAACCCACCGCAGUAAGAGACAGGUGCAGCUGUCUGACCCACCCCUCUCUAUUCACUUGUAACACGGUGGGAGGAGUCCGCUUUGGGAUUGUUUCAGGGUGAGGUUCUGCCUAUAAUUUGCUUUAUUUUCUUCCUUUCAGUGCCUGUUUUGAGUUGGGGAGGGAAGGAGGGUAAGGGACGCACUGGCCCCUCCACAGUUUAAAAUUCUCAAGGUUGCCUACUUUUGGGGCCAGCGCCCAUGUCUUCGAGGGGUUCAUACAGCACCUAGCGUAACAAGGCCUUGAGCCCAGGGCGACGGGGUGCUGCACAUUACCAGAGUCAGCGUGGCCAAUGUCGGUGACUUUUAUCACACAGCCUGUGAUGGGUUUUGGUGGCUGAGUUUUCCUUCCACCUGCAGCUCCUCCAUGAGAAUCCAAGUGCUCGUCUUUGUUGUUUGUCCAGCCCUAGCCUCUGGGGAGAAAAGCUUGCAGAUGAUCCAAGUCCCACCUAAAGGAGCAGCAGCAACUAAAAAGAAACCCGGGGGCGGGGAGAAUCUCAUACCUUUUAAGCCAGUCUCACACCUUGGAGUCCCUGCUGCUGACUUUUGGUUUUGCUGAUGGGUGCUCCUAUCUGCCUCCUCCCCUCUGUGUGAGCAGUGGGCAGGGCCGGGGGAGAGAGGAGCCAAUAGGGGGGCAUGGCCUCAGCAGGACAAUGGCUUCGCCAUGCUCCGUUGGGCACCCUAGCAGACCCAGACUCCAUGACGGCACCGGGGCACACAAUGCUCGCAGCGGGAGAGGGAGGCUUUGU